GUCUAUGGCCACGCCACCCUGAACGUGCCCGAUCUCAUCUGAUCUCAGAAGCUAAGCAGGGUCGGGCCUGGUUAGUACUUGGAUGGGAGACCACCUAGGAAUACUGGGUGCUGUAGGUG
rnacentral:rRNA from 1 species